rnacentral:rRNA from 1 species
AUUAAACGCUGGCGGCAUGCCUUACACAUGCAAGUCGAACGGCAGCACGGGGGCAACCCUGGUGGCGAGUGGCGGACGGGUGAGGAAUACAUCGGGAUCUACCCUGUUGUGGGGGAUAACGUAGGGAAACUUACGCUAAUACCGCAUAAGAACUGAGGUUGAAAGCGGCGGACCGCAAGGCGUCGCGCGAUUGGAUGAACCGAUGUCCGAUUAGCUAGUUGGCGGGGUAAAGGCCCACCAAGGCGACGAUCGGUAGCUGGUCUGAGAGGACGACCAGCCACACUGGAACUGAGACACGGUCCAGACUCCUACGGAGGCAGCAGUGGGGAAUAUUGGACAAUGGGCGCAAGCCUGAUCCAGCCAUGCCGCGUGAGUGAAGAAGGCCUCGGUUGUAAGACGUAC